rnacentral:rRNA from 1 species
AGUGAACGCUGGCGGUAGGCCUAACACAUGCAAGUCGAACGGCAGCACAGGAGAGCUUGCUCUCUGGGUGGCGAGUGGCGGACGGGUGAGGAAUACAUCGGAAUCUACUUUUUCGUGGGGGAUUACGUAGGGAAACUUACGCUAAUACCGCAUACGACCUACGGGUGAAAGCAGGGGAUCUUCGGACCUUGCGCGAUUGAAUGAGCCGGUGUCGGAUUAGCUAGUUGGCGGGGUAAAGGCCCACCAAGGCGACGAUCCGUAGCUGGUCUGAGAGGAUGAUCAGCCACACUGGAACUGUGACACGGUCCAGACUCCUACGGGAGGCAGCAGUGGGGAAUAUUGGACAAUGGGCGCAAGCCUGGUCCAGCCAUACCGCGUGGGUGAAGAAGGCCUUCGGGUUGUAAAGCCCUUUUGUUGGGAAAGAAAUCCAGCUGGUUAAUACCCGGUUGGGAUGACGGUACCCAAAGAAUAAGCACCGGCUAACUUCGUGCCAGCCGCCGCGGUAA